AGAGUUUGAUCAUGGCUCAGAUUGAACGCUGGCGGCGUGCCUAACACAUGCAAGUCGAGCGGUAACAGGUGUAGCAAUACAUGCUGACGAGCGGCGAACGGGUGAGUAAUGCUUUGGAAUCUUCCCAGUAGUGGGGAAUAACCAGUCGAAAGAUUGGCUAAUACCGCAUACGUCUGAAAAGGGAAAGCGGGGGCUCGUAAGACCUCGCGCUAUUGGAUGAGCCAAAGUCGGAUUAGCUAGUUGGUGGGGUAAUGGCCUACCAAGGCGACAAUCCGUAGCUGGUCUGAGAGGACGACCAGCCACACCGGAACUGAGACACGGUCCGGACUCCUACGGGAGGCAGCAGUGGGGAAUAUUGGACAAUGGGGGAAACCCUGAUCCAGCGACGCCGCGUGUGUGAAGAAGGCCUGCGGGUUGUAAAGCACUUUUAGUGGGGACAAAAAGCUACGGACUAAUACUCUGUGGUCUUGAUUUAACCCAAAGAAAAAGCACCGGCUAACUCUGUGCCAGCAGCCGCGGUAAUACAGAGGGUGCGAGCGUUAAUCGGAAUUACUGGGCGUAAAGCGCGCGUAGACGGUUUUGUAAGUCAGAUGUGAAAUCCCUGGGCUCAACCUGGGAACUGCAUUUGAAACUGCAUGGCUAGAGUAUGGAAGAGGGAAGUGGAAUUUCCGGUGUAGCGGUGAAAUGCGUAGAUAUCGGAAGGAACACCAGUGGCGAAAGCGACUUCCUGGUCCAAUACUGACGUUCAUGUGCGAAAGCGUGGGGAGCAAACAGGAUUAGAUACCCUAGUAGUCC
rnacentral:rRNA from 1 species